CCUACGGGAGGCAGCAGUGAGGAAUAUUGGUCAAUGGGCGCGAGCCUGAACCAGCCAAGUCGCGUGAAGGAUGACUGCCCUACGGGUUGUAAACUUCUUUUAUAAAGGAAUAAAGUUAGGCACGUGUGCCUUUUUGCAUGUACUUUAUGAAUAAGCAUCGGCUAACUCCGUGCCAGCAGCCGCGGUAAUACGGAGGAUCCGAGCGUUAUCCGGAUUUAUUGGGUUUAAAGGGAGCGUAGGUGGGUUGUUAAGUCAGUUGUGAAAGUUUGUGGCUCAACCAUAAAAUUGCCAUUGAAACUGGAAGCCUUGAGUACAGUUGAGGUAGGCGGAAUGCGUGGUGUAGCGGUGAAAUGCUUAGAUAUCACGCAGAACUCCGAUUGCGAAGGCAGCCUACUAAGCUGCCACUGACAUUGAUGCUCGAAAGUGUGGGUAUCAAACAGGAUUAGAUACCCUGGUAGUC
rnacentral:rRNA from 1 species